UAACUUUGUUUCAAUUUGAGAAAGAUUA
rnacentral:piRNA from 1 species